rnacentral:rRNA from 1 species
AUACGGAGGGUGCGAGCGUUAAUCGGAAUUACUGGGCGUAAAGCGCGCGUAGGUGGUUAAUUAAGUCAGAUGUGAAAGCCCAGGGCUCAACCUUGGAACUGCAUUUGAAACUGAUUGACUAGAGUUUUGUAGAGGGUGGUAGAAUUUCAGGUGUAGCGGUGAAAUGCGUAGAGAUCUGAAGGAAUACCAGUGGCGAAGGCGGCCACCUGGACAAAGACUGACACUGAGGCGCGAAGGCGUGGGGAGCAAACGGGAUUAGAAACCCCAGUAGUCC